AUUGAACGCUGGCGGCAGGCCUAACACAUGCAAGUCGAACGAGUGGCGGACGGGUGAGUAAUGUCUGGGAAACUGCCUGAUGGAGGGGGAUAACUACUGGAAACGGUAGCUAAUACCGCAUACCAUCAGAUGUGCCCAGAUGGGAUUAGCUAGUUGGUGGGGUAAAGGCCUACCAAGGCGACGAUCAGUAGCGGGUCUGAGAGGACGAUCCGCCACACUGGGACUGAGACACGGUCCAGACUCCUACGGGAGGCAGCAGUGGGGAAUAUUGCACAAUGGGCGCAAGCCUGAUGCAGCCAUGCCGCGUGUAUGAAGAAGGCCGUCGGGUUGUAAAGUACUUUCAGCGGGGAGGCGUUACCCGCAGAAGAAGCACCGGCUAACUCCGUGCCAGCCGCCGCGGUAAUUC
rnacentral:rRNA from 1 species